CAGAAUGCCUUCUCAUUACAUUGAACUCACAAAAAUUAUUUACAAGUAGCUCAUGUUAACAGAUGAGGAAAGGAAGGCUUGGACAAGUACUUUGCCCAAAGACAUACAGGUAAAGUUGGUGAAUGGCAAAGCAAGAAGUUACCCCCAAGUGUUGAAUCCAGAGACUACUAGAAGAUAUAUAAUGAUGCAACUUUAUAAGAGAUGGCACAUAGUGGCUGGGAAUAUGGCCUAGUGGCAAGAGCGCUUGCCUCGUAUACUUGAA